CCAAUAGCGUAUAUUAAAGUUGUUGCAGUUAAAAAGCUCGUAGUUGAAUUUCGGGAUCAAUAUGUUGGUCGUGCCUCGGUACGUACUAGCGUAUUGGUUUCUCCUUUCUGAAGAACCAUGAUGUCAUUUAUUUGGUGUCGUGGGGAAUCAGGACUGUUACUUUGAAAAAAUUAGAGUGUUUAAAGCAGGCUCACGCUUGAAUACAUUAGCAUGGAAUAAUGAAAUAGGACGUUUGAUUCUAUUUUGUUGGUUUUUAGGAUCGACGUAAUGAUUAAUAGGGGUAGUUGGGGGCAUUAUUAUUCAAUUGUCAGAGGUGAAAUUCUUGGAUUUAUUGAAGACUAACUACUGCGAAAGCAUUUGCCAAGGAUGUUUUCAUUAAUCAAGAACGAAAGUUAGGGGACCGAAGACGAUCAGAUACCGUCGUAGUCUUAACCAUAAACUAUGCCGACUAGGGAUCGGAUGAUGUUAAUUUUUUAAUGACUCAUUCGGCGCCUUACG
rnacentral:rRNA from 1 species